AAGCAGGGGAUCGUAAGACCUUGCGCUUUUGGAGUGGCCGAUGCCUGAUUAGCUAGUUGGUGUGGUAAGGGCCUACCAAGGCAACGAUCAGUAGUUGGUCUGAGAGGACGACCAGCCACACUGGGACUGAGACACGGCCCAGACUCCUACGGGAGGCAGCAGUGGGGAAUUUUGGACAAUGGGCGAAAGCCUGAUCCAGCAAUGCCGCGUGAGUGAAGAAGGCCUUCGGGUUGUAAAGCUCUUUCAGUCGAGAAGAAAAGGUUGUGACUAAUAAUCACAACUUAUGACGGUACCGACAGAAGAAGCACCGGCUAACUACGUGCCAGCAGCCGCGGUAAUACGUAGGGUGCGAGCGUUAAUCGGAAUUACUGGGCGUAAAGGGUGCGCAGGCGGCUUUGUAAGUCAGAUGUGAAAUCCCCGGGCUUAACCUGGGAAUUGCGUUUGAAACUACAAAGCUUAGA
rnacentral:rRNA from 1 species